GACGAACGCUGGCGGCGUGCUUAACACAUGCAAGUCGAGCGAUGAAGUCUCUUCGGAGACGGAUUAGCGGCGGACGGGUGAGUAACACGUGGGUAACCUGCCUCAUAGAGGGGAAUAGCCUUCCGAAAGGAAGAUUAAUACCGCAUAAGAUUGUAGUUUCGCAUGAAACAGCAAUUAAAGGAGUAAUCCGCUAUGAGAUGGACCCGCGUCGCAUUAGCUAGUUGGUGAGGUAACGGCUCACCAAGGCGACGAUGCGUAGCCGACCUGAGAGGGUGAUCGGCCACAUUGGGACUGAGACACGGCCCAGACUCCUACGGGAGGCAGCAGUGGGGAAUAUUGCACAAUGGGGGAAACCCUGAUGCAGCAACGCCGCGUGAGUGAUGACGGUCUUCGGAUUGUAAAGCUCUGUCUUUAGGGACGAUAAUGACGGUACCUAAGGAGGAAGCCACGGCUAACUACGUGCCAGCAGCCGCCGCGGUAA
rnacentral:rRNA from 1 species